rnacentral:rRNA from 1 species
CCUACGGGUGGCAGCAGUGAGGAAUAUUGGUCAAUGGGCGAGAGUCUGCACCAGCAAAGUCGCGUGAAGGAUGAAGGAUCUAUGGUUUGUACACUUCUUUUAUAUGGGCAUAAAGUGAGGAACGUGUUCCUUUUUGUAUGUAACAUAUGAAUAAGCAUCGGCUAACUCCGUGUCAGCAGCCGCGGUAAUACGGAGUAUGCGAGCGUUAUCCGGAUUUAUUGGGUUUAAAGGGUGCGUAGGUGGUUAAUUAAGUCAGCGAUGAAAGUUUGUGGCUCAACCAUAAGAUUGCCGUUGAAACUGGUUGACUUGAGUAUAUUUGAGGUAGGCGGAAUGCGUGGUGUAGUGGUGAAAUGCAUAGAUAUCAAGCAGAACUCCGAUUGCGAAGGCAGCUUACUAAACUAUAACUGACACUGAAGCACGAAAGCGUGGGGAUCAAACAGGAUUAGAUACCCGGGUAGUC